GACGAACCGUGCGAACGUUGUUCGGAUUCACUGGGCUUAAAGGGCGCGUAGGCGGCGGACCAAGUCCGGGGUGAAAGCUUUCGGCUCAACCGGAAAAGUGCCUUGGAUACUGGUUCGCUCGAGGGAGGUAGGGGCAGAUGGAACUUCCGGUGGAGCGGUGAAAUGCGUAGAUAUCGGAAGGAACUCCGGUGGCGAAAGCGAUCUGCUGGACCUCUUCUGACGCUGAGGCGCGAAAGCUAGGGGAGCAAACGGG
rnacentral:rRNA from 1 species